CAGCAGCCACGGUAAUACCAGCACCUCGAGUGGUCAGGAGGUUUAUUGGGCCUAAAGCAUCCGUAGCCGGUUGCAUAAGUUUUCGGUUAAAUCUAUGCGCUUAACGUAUAGGCCGCCGAAAAUACUGUGCAGCUAGGGAGUGGGAGAGGUACACGGUACUCGAUAGGAAGGGGUAAAAUCCUUUGAUCUAUUGAUGACCACCUGUGGCGAAGGCGGUGUACCAGAACACGUUCGACGGUGAGGGAUGAAAGCUGGGGGAGCAAACCGGAUUAGAUACCCCAGUAGUCCCUGUCUCUUAUAU
rnacentral:rRNA from 1 species